rnacentral:misc_RNA from 1 species
ACUCUUCAACCCUCCGGUUCCUUGUUGGACCGAGUAGGUGUUUGGAUUCUGACUGUUGCAGACUUGUCUGCUCAGUCGUAAUACAUUAGCCCUCUCAAUUUCGAACUUCGGAUUGACUCAGCGUAAUAGACUAUUCGCUGAGGACACCUCACGGUGGCCGAACAGUAGAUGACAGUAGAAGCUACCAAUCCAUCUAGUCAAAUCUUAG